CUGAACAGAGAAACCUUCUUCUUGCGUGAGGACAAACGGACGAGCAGAGCAGCCACACAAGAAGGACGAGGGUUUGACUUCCUGUCACCAGGAACUGAUCUGAGAUCAGACCUCACGUCGGCGGGUGUGAAGAUGGAGGCCACGCCUACGGUCUUCCCACCGGAGGAGGUGGAGGUGGAAUCAGGGGUGGAGUCUGUCCAGCUGCCCUUCAUAACCACAGCUGACCUGCCUGAAGACAUCACAGUGAAGUGGAUGAAGCUAGAGAACGACAAAGUAAAAGGUGAGAUGGUCCAUGUGUAUCAGAACGGCUCUGACCAACUUGAAGAACAGCACGGGUUUUACAGAACCAGAACAGAGAUGAAUGAAGACCUGCUGACAACUGGAGACCUCAGUCUGACCCUGAAACAUCUAACAGUCACAGACACAAACACCUUCAUCUGCAAAGUCUACAGGGAGGGAAGAGUCUGGAAGGAGAAAGAAGUGAAGCUCUCGAUCAGAGGUCAGUUCAAAGUCUUUAUGCUAAGCUGACUCUGGGUUUGUGUUGGGCCUAAACACUGGAGACACUUUCCAUUAUCAGUGAAAUGUUAAAGAGCCUCCUCCACCCUCAUGUUAUGUAGCACCACCUUUGUCAGUUUAGUUUGUCCACAUAAAGUCCUCAGUCAGAGAAACAGGGAGUUGUGCUGUUGGUUGUUCACACACCACAGACUCCGUCUCUGUUAAAUGGACCAAUGGGGCAGAGUCCAGACUGGAACCAGUCAGACAUGUUUCCACUACAAAUAUUUCACUUCAUACAGUCAAAGAAAAUGUGUCAGUGCUGCUGCUGCUGCUGUCUGUCCAGCUCAUGUUGUGUCUGUUGUCCUCUCAGUCCCACAGGUGGAGGUGGAAUCAGGGGCGGAGUCUGUCCAGCUGCCCUUCAGAACCGGAGCUGACCUGUCUGGAGACGUCAGAGUGGAGUGGAAGGACAGCUGGAAGAACAGGAAGGUCCAUGUGUAUCAGAACGGCUCUGACCGACCUGAAGAACAGGACGAGUUUUACAGAAACAGAACAGAGAUGAAUGAAGACCUGCUGAGAACUGGAGACCUCACUCUGACCCUGAGACAUCCAAGAAGCUUAAAUGGAAACAUAAGAACCUUCACCUGCAAAGUCUACAUCCAACAGCAGGAGGUGAAGGUGGAAUCAGGGGCGGAGUCUGUCCAGCUGCCCUUCAUAACCACAGCUGACCUGCCUGAAGACAUCAGAGUGGAGUGGAAGGACUGGAACAACAGGAAGGUCCAUGUGUAUCAGAACGGCUCUGACCGACCUGAAGAACAGGACGAGUUUUACAGAAACAGAACAGAGAUGAAGAAAGACCUGCUGAGCCCUGGAGACCUCAGUCUGACCCUGAAACAUCCAACAGGCAGAGACAAAGGAACCUUCACCUGCACAGUCUACAGCAGGCGGAUGGAAAAACAAAUGAAGAUCCAUUUCUAA
rnacentral:lncRNA from 1 species